rfam:Trichoderma gamsii strain T6085 Scaffolds0011.1, whole genome shotgun sequence.
AUAUGAUGAGAUACCAGCUGGCACCAGUCAUAGAGUGACUUGUACUCCCUUCAUUGAUGACCAUAAUGCUUAGGUCUAUGACCACUUCUGAU